UACGUAGGGGGCAAGCGUUGUCCGGAAUCAUUGGGCGUAAAGAGCGUGUAGGCGGCCCGGUAAGUCCGCUGUGAAAGUCGGGGGCUCAACCCUCGAAUGCCGGUGGAUACUGUCGGGCUAGAGUGCGGAAGAGGCGAGUGGAAUUCCUGGUGUAGCGGUGGAAUGCGCAGAUAUCAGGAGGAACACCAACGGCGAAGGCAGCUCGCUGGGACGGUACUGACACUAAGGCGCGAAAGCGUGGGGAGCGAACAGG
rnacentral:rRNA from 1 species